rnacentral:rRNA from 1 species
UAGGGAAUCUUCCACAAUGGACGCAAGUCUGAUGGAGCAACGCCGCGUGAGUGAAGAAGGUUUUCGGACCGUAAAGCUCUGUUGUUGGUGAAGAAGGAUAGAGGUAGUAACUGGCCUUUAUUUGACGGUAAUCAACCAGAAAGUCACGGCUAACUACGUGCCAGCAGCCGCGGUAAUCGUAGGUGGCAAGCGUUGUCCGGAUUUAUUGGGCGUAAAGCGAGCGCAGGCGGAAGAAUAAGUCUGAUGUGAAAGCCCUCGGCUUAACCGAGGAAUUGCAUCGGAAACUGUUUUCUUGAGUGCAGAAGAGGAGAGUAGAACUCCAUGUGUAGCGGUGGAAUGCGUAGAUAUAUGGAAGAAUACCAGUGGCGAAGGCGGCUCUCUGGUCUGCAACUGACGCUGAGGCUCGAAAGCAUGGUAGCGAACAGGAUUAGAUACCCUGGUAGUCCAUGCCGUAAACGAUGAGUGCUAAGUGUUGGGAGGCUUCCGCCUCUCAGUGCUGCAGCUAACGCAUUAAGCACUCCGCCUGGGGGAGUACGACCGC